AAAAGUUGUGUAUUAUAUACAUAUAUAUAUAUACGUAAAUAACGUAUUGAUCGAAUGGAAGCAGUGUUUGUAUGAAAUUUUAAUAAUCAAAAUGGUGGCACUGCCGCUACUAACUUUUAUCUAUGUACAACAAUAACAAUUACGACAGAUAGUAGUACAAUAAUCAAUUAUUGGUAAUAAAUGGUAUAUAUAUUGAUAAACAGUAUUCUUGACAGAAUAAUUUCCUGUUUUAGUAGUUUUAUUUACAAAAGUUUUAAUAAAAAACUGUUUUUGUUAUACUGUCAAAGACUUCCGUGUUUUUAUAUAGAUUUUUUAAAAUGACAAUGUGACAAUUGUGUUUACGGACAUGAGUAUUUACUAUUUUAAAAGUACUUAUUAUUGUUUUUAUGUACUUGUUUGUAUGUAUGACAGUUAUUAUAUUUAAUGAAAUUAGGUUAUGUUCUUAUUACAAGCAACUAGUGUCUUCGUGAGUGUCAAUCCUAUAACUAGAUCUUAUAUUUUAUAAAUUUAUACGUUUUAUAAAAUGACUAUAGUGAAAAAUAAAAAUUUUGGUCCAGGAUAAUUUUAUUUUGUCAGCAAAUUUAUUCAUGUGACAUAAAAAAUUUUUAAAAGAUUCAGGCUCUGUUUGCAAUUGUUGGAUCUUCUUCAAUCCCCCGGAGGUGACAAAUGACCGUCUUGAUUUAGGAUCACUCGGAAGAAUCUGAAUAAAAAGAAGACAAAAAAAAAUUCUCCAUUGAUAAAAAAAAUUAUAAAUAAACGAGGAAGAAUGAGUAAAAAUUGAUUCCGCUGAGUGGAUGAAUACUAAAGUAAGGCACACAUGUACACAAAGUCUCGAGUGUGUAAAGUGUAAAAAGGCCGGACAUUAUUCCAAGAUCGACAGUCAAUCAUUGGAUUCACGCAGAGUAACACGACAAUGGUAACACAAAUUACUUUGACUAAUUAGUCAGAAUAAAAAGCCACCUAAGGAUAAUGACAAGAGAUUGGAUGGUAAAAUCCGAUCACCCUAAAGAAAUAUUAAUAGCAUUUAAAAUAAGCAAAUUAAAAGGAAGAUUAAGUUAUUGUUAAUUAAAUUAGUGAUAGUGGGUCACA